rnacentral:tRNA from 3 species
CGAGGUGUAGCGAAGGUGGUAUCGCGCAUCGUUCGGGACGAUGAGAUCGCAGGUUCGAGUCCUGUCACUUCGACCA